rnacentral:rRNA from 1 species
AUGCAGUCGAGCGAAAUGGAUUAAGAGCUUGCUCUUAUGAAGUUAGCGGCGGACGGGUGAGUAACACGUGGGUAACCUGCCCAUAAGACUGGGAUAACUCCGGGAAACCGGGGCUAAUACCGGAUAAUAUUUUGAACUGCAUAGUUCGAAAUUGAAAGGCGGCUUCGGCUGUCACUUAUGGAUGGACCCGCGUCGCAUUAGCUAGUUGGUGAGGUAACGGCUCACCAAGGCAACGAUGCGUAGCCGACCUGAGAGGGUGAUCGGCCACACUGGGACUGAGACACGGCCCAGACUCCUACGGGAGGCAGCAGUAGGGAAUCUUCCGCAAUGGACGAAAGUCUGACGGAGCAACGCCGCGUGAGUGAUGAAGGCUUUCGGGUCGUAAAACUCUGUUGUUAGGGAAGAACAAGUGCUAGUUGAAUAAGCUGGCACCUUGACGGUACCUAACCAGAAAGCCACGGCNANCUACGUGCCAGCAGCCGCGGUAAUACGUAGGUGGCAAGCGUUAUCCGGAAUUAUUGGGCGUAAAGCGCGCGCAGGUGGUUUCUUAAGUCUGAUGUGAAAGCCCACGGCUCAACCGUGGAGGGUCAUUGGAAACUGGGAGACUUGAGUGCAGAAGAGGAAAGUGGAAUUCCAUGUGUA